rnacentral:rRNA from 1 species
GACGAACGCUGGCGGCGUGCCUAAUACAUGCAAGUUGAGCGCUGAAGGUUGGUACUUGUACCAAUUGGAUGAGCAGCGAACGGGUGAGUAACGCGUGGGGAAUCUGCCUUUGAGCGGGGGACAACAUUUGGAAACGAAUGCUAAUACCGCAUAAAAACUUUAAACACAAGUUUUAAGUUUGAAAGAUGCAAUUGCAUCACUCAAAGAUGAUCCCGCGUUGUAUUAGCUAGUUGGUGAGGUAAGGGCUCACCAAGGCGAUGAUACAUAGCCGACCUGAGAGGGUGAUCGGCCACAUUGGGACUGAGACACGGCCCAAACUCCUACGGGAGGCAGCAGUAGGGAAUCUUCGGCAAUGGACGAAAGUCUGACCGAGCAACGCCGCGUGAGUGAAGAAGGUUUUCGGAUCGUAAAACUCUGUUGGUAGAGAAGAACGUUGGUGAGAGUGGAAAGCUCAUCAAGUGACGGUAACUACCCAGAAAGGGACGGCUAACUACGUG